rnacentral:rRNA from 1 species
GAUGAACGCUGGCGGCGUGCCUAAUACAUGCAAGUCGAGCGAACGGACGAGAAGCUUGCUUCUCUGAUGUUAGCGGCGGACGGGUGAGUAACACGUGGAUAACCUACCUAUAAGACUGGGAUAACUUCGGGAAACCGGAGCUAAUACCGGAUAAUAUUUUGAACCGCAUGGUUCAAAAGUGAAAGACGGUCUUGCUGUCACUUAUAGAUGGAUCCGCGCUGCAUUAGCUAGUUGGUAAGGUAACGGCUUACCAAGGCAACGAUGCAUAGCCGACCUGAGAGGGUGAUAGGCCACACUGGAACUGAGACACGGUCCAGACUCCUACGGGAGGCAGCAGUAGGGAAUCUUCCGCAAUGGGCGAAAGCCUGACGGAGCAACGCCGCGUGAGUGAUGAAGGUCUUCGGAUCGUAAAACUCUGUUAUUAGGGAAGAACAUAUGUGUAAGUAACUGUGCACAUCUUGACGGUACCUAAUCAGAAAGCAACGGCUAACUACGUG